GAGAAUUGUGGAUUGGAAUGGAGCUCCUUCUGUUGCUAAAUCCCUUGUCUGUUGUCUACAAGGCCCUGGCUUCCAUCUUCAGCCAAACAGAAAAGUCGCCAAGAUUGAGAGUCAUCAGGGAGCAGCUCUUUGAGGACUCACCUCUAGAGACCCUCCAGGCAUGGGAAAGGCUCCAAGGGAUAUCUUGGAACAUCAGUCCUGGCAGAGGGAAGAGUCUGUGCAAAGGCCGGAAACGGACCGCUCCCAACGUUCCAGGGAGUCACAUGGACACCAGUACAGAAGAUGCCGUGAGCCAAGGCUCACAGAUGGCUCACCCAAGCUGCGGGCAGGAUGCAGCUGUUUCUUGCUGCGGAGGAUUAUGGGAGCAGGUUUGCAUGGCAAGAAAACUGACUAAUAGAGAUGUGAAGGCUCCAGGAACCCAGGGUCCAACCUCGGCAAGCCUGCCUUCCACUGUAAGGUGCCAGACUCCGCGUGUUGCCUUUGUGACAGAGCACAUCCCCCAGCCACAUUGGUCUUCUGCGGUGGCACAUACAACAACUACAGCCUCCUCAUCACACCAUGGCAGGCUUCUGACACAUCCCCAAACAGAAGAAGCUCUUGGUCCGUCUUCAGUUCCAAGCUUGUUCUGGAUUCAUGUCCCCAGCAAGACACAUCAAGAAGUGCUCCCAGGAAGAACUGUUAACUAAACGGGAGACCGCAGGCUGAAGGGCAGCGGCGGUGUGAGUACAGACCUAGUCCCAAAGAGAGCAUCAGCCAGAUGUACAGGGGAACUCUGGUGCAAUUACAACUUAGCGUUUGUCUGUUUGGAAAGGAAGGAUGCUGGGGCUGUCACCUACACCAGGUAAUCACUGGCUGUGGGUGGAGGAAGCAAAUUCUGGGCAUCUGUUUUGUUUUUCCAAGACAAGAGCUUGGAGAUACACACACACACACAUACACACACACACACACACACACACACACACACACACACAUCCCACGCUGACCUUGAACUCAUGAUCAGGCUAUCCGGGAAAUUUAACUGAAACUCAAGACUGAGAUUCAUUUAGUUAAAUGAAUGAAUUGAUGAAUGACCAGCUGGAGAAGCUGCGCAGAAGGCAGCGUCGUGGUCCAGGCUCGCCCGAAGAGCUGAGUAUCGUUUUCUCCGCUCUGCUCGCGGCCCCCCGCCGGAAUGCAGAGUGCCCUGGAAGGAGGCGGAAAUGAGCGCGCUCCACAGCUCUCCAGCCGAGUGUUUACUUAAUUAGGGCCUGUAUCCUGAGGCUCGUUUGUGUUUAACUGUCUGCCUAAUGGUUUCGUCUGGCUCCGGGCCGGCGCUGGGGGAACUUUGGGGGUGAGGAUAGGUCGAGCCACCCUGUCCCCUCUAGGUUAGAGCAUUGAGCAGCUCCAGCGGGCAGCUAGGAUUUGGCAAGCGUCCCCAGCAGGAGAGCUGGACCACUAAGCUGCCUUGGGCUUUUUCUGCAAGUUGCCACCUCCUCCCACAGUGCUAGGACUGCGCGGAUCACUGAAGACUCCAGAGAUGGCAGAUGCCGGCUGCCCGCAGCGGCGAAAUUGAAGGAUUCUGACACUGCUCAUUCUCUUAGUUGUGGAACUGGGAGCGCUAGCCAGUUCCCUAGCUGGCGAGGCAGAGAAAACUAAAUGAGCCGCAUCCUAGAGUCCUAAUACCGACACCACUGGGCUCUUGCUCAGUGCCAGCUACUGAGUUCAGCGUUUUUAACACGUUCAUCUGUUUAAUCCUCAAGUACACAUCUUCGUUUAAUUCUAAUACAGCCGAGCUCCUCUUCCUACCCCCCCCCUCUGUGUGUGUGUGUGUGUGUGUAAGAGAGAGGGAGAGGGAGAGAUGUGUGUUCAUGAGUAUGAGUAGGGGCCACGUGCAUUGGCCAGAGGACAGUCUCUGAGACAAUACUAUCUUUCACCUUGUUUGAGAUUGGGUCUCUUUGUUUGACACUGUAUGAACCAGGCUGGCUGGCCUGCUGGCUUCCUUCUGCCCUCCCCCCAUCUCUUCAUAGGAGAUCCUUACAGAUGGGCUACUGCCAUCCACAUUCCGUGGAAUCUGGGGACUUGAACUUGGGACUUACCAAAGCACAUUAUCCACUGAGCCUUCUCCUUUAGUCUAGUCCUUUUUUUUUGAAACAAAGACUCACUAUGUAGUGUAGGCUGUCUUUGAACUUGCAGUAAUCAUCUUGCCUCCACACCCCGAGCAGGGAUUAAAGGCACACCCCUCUCCUGGCUCUAGUACAGUACUUUCAGAGGGUAGGUAUCAAAAUAAUCCCAGUGACAGCUGAAUAGCCUCAGUAAGAGGUGGGACCCGAGUCUAAAUCCCACACAGUAAAUCGAGUAGAGCCAAUGCUUGCCUGAUUACAUCAUAAGUUCUACUGCUCAGCCAGAGACUUGGGUAGAAAGGACAGGUAGGUACAGGUUAAUACUUGAAGGCAAACAAAACAAAACAAACAUAAACUUCUAAAGCUGAGCUAGCUGGAGAAAAAGCAUCAUCCUGGGAUUCUCUGGAGAGCAAUGCAAGAUGAGGCGCACUCGGAGAAUGGGGGUGGGGGGAUACGUUGGUUCAGAAGGCUUGUCUCAUCCAGGGCUGAGGCUGCAGCUCAGCAGUGGAGCACUUACUUGCCUGGCAGGUGUGCAAGGUCAUGCGUUCAAUCUCCAGCAUUGCAGAGAGGAGGGGCAGGGGAUGGGGGAGAGAUGCCUUUACAGGGAAAGGGCACGGGGAAUGGGGCCGUUGGAACCUGUGCAUGGGGUGGCAAGUCUUAGUACUAGGUACAAGGUCUUAGUACUAGGAAGGUAGAGGCAGGAGAAUCGGAAGUUCAAGGCCAUCCCAGGUGCAUAGUUUCAGGCCAGCCUGAGACACAUUACACUUUUUUUAAAAAGUCAUCAUUGUUAAGCUGGUCAUUGUGGGUCAUUGUCUUUUAUUCCAGCAGUUAGGAGCCAGAGACAGAAGGUUUGAAUGAAUUCAAGGCCAGCCUGAGACUACAAUGUGAGAGUCUGCCUCAAAAC
rnacentral:lncRNA from 1 species